rnacentral:rRNA from 1 species
UACGUAGGGGGGCUAGCGUUGUCCGGAAUCAUUGGGCGUAAAGAGCGUGUAGGCGGUCCGGUAAGUCCGCUGUGAAAGUCGGGGGCUCAACCCUCGAAUGCCGGUGGAUACUGUCGGGCUAGAGUGCGGAAGAGGCGAGUGGAAUUCCUGGUGUAGCGGUGAAAUGCGCAGAUAUCAGGAGGAACACCUAUUGCGAAGGCAGCUCGCUGGGACGGUACUGACGCUGAGACGCGAAAGCGUGGGGAGCAAACAGG